rnacentral:rRNA from 1 species
UCGAACGAGAAAUUCCGAUUCGUCGGAAGAGUAAAGUGGCGAACGGGUGAGUAACGCGUGGGUAAUCUGCCCUUGAGUUUGGGACAACUUCGCGAAAGCGGAGCUAAUACCGAAUAAAUCUGACCUUGUUCCGGCAAGAUCAGUAAAAGAAGGCCUCUACGUGUAAGCUGUCGCUUAAGGAUGAGCCCGUGUACCAUUAGCUUGUUGGUAGGGUAAUGGCCUACCAAGGCAGCGAUGGUUAGCUGGUCUGAGAGGAUGAUCAGCCACACUGGAACUGAGAUACGGCCCAGACUCCUACGGGAGGCAGCAGUGGGGGAUCUUGCGCAAUGGGGGAAACCCUGACGCAGCGACGCCGUGUGAGUGAUGAAGGCCUUCGGGUCGUAAAGCUCUGUCAGGUGGGAAGAGAUAUCUCGAUACGAAUAAUAUCGGGGUUUGACGGUACCACCAGAGGAAGCACCGGCUAACUCCGUGCCAGCAGCCGCGGUAAUACGGAGGGUGCAAGCGUUGUUCGGAAUUACUGGGCGUAAAGAGCGUGUAGGCGGUUGAACAAGUCAGAUGUGAAAUCCCUCGGCUCAACCGAGGAAGUGCAUUUGAAACUGUUUAGCUUGAGUACGGGAGAGGAGAGCGGAAUUCCCGGUGUAGAGGUGAAAUUCGUAGAUAUCGGGAGGAACACCAGUGGCGAAGGCGGUUCUCUGGCCCGAUACUGACGCUGAGACGCGAAAGCGUGGGGAGCAAACAGGAUUAGA